GGGGGGCAGUGAAUGUGCUACACUGGCUACAGAAGGGCCUGUUAGUUGUGUAGAAAUGUACUCAUCUGCAGUGAUCUCAGGCACUAUAAUAAUGCAGUAGGAGAAAACGGUUGCUGUUUCACCGUGUGUUGAGCUUGAUCCUUACUUGAAGCAAAUCAGAAUAGGCCAACUGAAAUCAAGGCAUUAAUACUGGUGUCUGUCAGCUGAGACCUGGCUCAAAAUAAAUGGACAAAAAUCCCUCCAACUGGCUUGAUGUUUCAAUGUUUGUUUUGGGAUGCUUUUACAUCAGUUUUGAUUAUAGUAGUUACACUGCUAAGAAAUGCUCUCAUGUGGGAUGACUCCCCUGUACUUUCUGGCAUAUAGCAUCAUCCAAAACUUGCAAAAAGUGAAUAUCUAAUGCUUCCCCAAAUCCAAGAGAAAAAUGUGCAUUAGGAGGACCUUUGGCUAAUGCUUAGCACAGAUGUGAAAUGACACAAGGCACAAAGCAGCGGGGACGGAAACCCUGCUUGUUUAAAGCUGAUACAGAACCACACUGAUCAAAGCAUAUUUAUCGCCAUCUUUCAACCUCAGUGCAUGUAUUGCCAUCUGUGAGAGUAGACUGCAGAGCAGACGGUCCUAAAUGUAAAAAAGGGAAAAAAAAAGGAAAAAGGAACAGAAUCAGCUCCUCAUCUGAAUGAGUGAGCAUAACAAUGAAUGACAUUACUUCCUGAACUGUACCAGUUCAAAUGCAUGUGCACCUGGUGCUCCUAAUGCUGUUUACUCCUGUUGGUCUUUAGACAACAUGAUCAGUAAUAUGCUUUUUCUCUUUAUUUGUAUGUUGGUUUUAUUGUUGUUAUUUUGUUUUGGGUUUUCUUAGAAAAAACACGUUUAACUGAGAAAACAGCCCUACUUCUGUAAAUAUAGAGUUUAAUUUGGAGGAGACAGCACACUUCUGGAUGUUACUGCUGGACAGUUAUUUAUUAAAAGGGGCUUAAGGUGAAUAAAUACAGGUGGCUCAGGAUACAUGCAUGCAAGUGUGAUAAUGCAGUAUAGCAUUUUCAGUUCUCUGUAGUUUUGGGGGGAAGGGGAAUUUUUGGGUCAUCCUAGUUUGUUUAGAAGUUUGUUACUGAUCUGAUACUUUUGAAUAAUGCAAUAGACUCCUAACAUAUAACAGUGCUUGAAAAGAUGUGUAGAUUAUGAUAGAUUUUACAUUUGGGGGGGGGAGGGGGUAGUGAAGGAGAAAUUUUCUAGUUUUUAAGGGAAAAAAUAUACUGUACUAAACUUUUUUUAGAAAAAGAUGUGUGUUUUCAGAAACAGUGGAGAUGGGGGCUGAUAGACAGCCGGGGCGUGGAGGUGAGGGACAGAGGAAGCAGUUGGAUUUUUUGAGGGACAAAGAAAUUUUACAUGGGUGUGUGGGUUCAUUACUGGUACAUGUGGUACAAAUUUCUGUAACUGACAUGCUGCUUCCACGUUGUAAUCGUAUAACCUUUAUACAUUUUAUACGCCUGCUCCAUUUUUCUGAGAAAACUUUGCAAAUGUAAUGCCUGCAUGCAAAUGUGGGAGAUGUAGCCAAAGUGUUAUAAUCCAACAUAAUGUAGUCUUAAUGGAUUCAAAAUCAACAAUAAAAGUGCUUACUGGUUAAACAC
rnacentral:lncRNA from 1 species